rnacentral:rRNA from 1 species
UACGUAGGGGGCAAGCGUUGUCCGGAUUAUUGGGCGUAAAGAGCGUGUAGGCGGCCAUACAGGUCCGUUGUGAAAACUGGAGGCUUAACCUCCAGACGUCGAUGGAAACCGUAUGGCUAGAGUCCGGAAGAGGAGAGUGGAAUUCCUGGGUGUAGCGGUGAAAUGGCGCAGAUAUCAGGAAGAACACCCGGUGGCGAAGGCGGCUCCUCUGGGACGGUACUGGACGCUGAGACGCGAAAGCGUGGGGAGCGAACGG